rnacentral:rRNA from 1 species
GAUGAACGCUGGCGGCGUGCCUAAUACAUGCAAGUCGAGCGAACAGAUAAGGAGCUUGCUCCUUUGACGUUAGCGGCGGACGGGUGAGUAACACGUGGGUAACCUACCUAUAAGACUGGAAUAACUCCGGGAAACCGGGGCUAAUGCCGGAUAACAUUUAGAACCGCAUGGUUCUAAAGUGAAAGAUGGUUUUGCUAUCACUUAUAGAUGGACCCGCGCCGUAUUAGCUAGUUGGUAAGGUAACGGCUUACCAAGGCAACGAUACGUAGCUGACCUGAGAGGGUGAUCGGCCACACUGGAACUGAGACACGGUCCAGACUCCUACGGGAGGCAGCAGUAGGGAAUCUUCCGCAAUGGGCGAAAGCCUGACGGAGCAACGCCGCGUGAGUGAUGAAGGUCUUCGGAUCGUAAAACUCUGUUAUUAGGGAAGAACAAAUGUGUAAGUAACUGUGCACGUCUUGACGGUACCUAAUCAGAAAGCCACGGCUAACUACGUG